GAAUUGCACGGUUAAGAGAUUUAACAGUAGCAAGAUACUGACUCUCACUGCAAAGUCCUUGGUUUGAUUUACUGGUACUACCAUCUAAUAGCAGUUCAGUGACCUAUUCUACAAUAAGUUGGUGAUCUCUUAAUACAGUUGGUGGUGGGCUUGUGUCACUUAUGUCCCUCAUUCCACUAAUGAGCAUCAGACAAAGAAAGAGAAUGGAAAGUUCCUCUGUUAAAUCUAGUGCAUUAGAAUAAGAGAGGGGGGUCACUGCUGGAGCAUUUGUGGGAAAAUGUCUCUCUCAAAGAUGGUCCAGUAAUAACGCUAGCUUAGGACUUCCACCAGACUUCCUGUGUGACCCUGGGCAAGUCACUUCGCCUCCGUGCCUCAUCUGUAAAAUGGGGAUAAUAGUCCUGCCUCACUGGGGUGUUUUGAAAGGAUAAAUACAUUAAAGAUUAUGAGACACUCCAAUACUAUGGUGAGGGAGCCAUAUACAAGUACCUAAAAUAGAUUAACUAGAAAUUAAAAAAGGAAGCAAAACAGGUGGGCUACAGAACUUCAGAAGAAAAGUGGCAAGCAAUGAGAAACAGAGCCUUGGAGGCAAGGACAAGACUUUGAAUUUAACGGUACUCAGUUAUACCUCAUCUGUGAGGAAAUGGAGAUUGAAUAACAAGGCCAAGAAAAAACCUUAAAUCCACAUUAUCUUAUUGCAUACCCAUGUUGUUGAAUCUGGCCACUUUCUGUAGCAGGUUCUCUUGACACAUACCAACUAAAUGACAAAGUCUUGUUCAAUAGGGGACAACUACAAAAUUAUAGGGUCAAGAUAUAAACCAGAGUUCUAGAAAAAAUGAAUUACACUGCUCUUAAUGGGUAUAUCAAAUAUAUUCCUUCCCAGAUAUCAAUGUUCUUUUAACAUUAAUCAGAGCAUUUAUUCUGAAAUCUGCCAAAACAACUAAAGGUUAGAAAGAUCUUCAGAGUUAUGAGCAUAAUUUGGGAGGCAAAGGGAAAUAGAUCAUUGUAUACAGCCACCAGUCCGACUUGCUCCACUCCCCUAACCUCAGGUAACCUCCACUAGGCCAAGCUGCUCAGUCAAAAUCUCCUGACCAUGCUGCAGAUACAAUCCCUCUCUCCACUCACCAACACACUGUUUGAGCCUGUUGCUGCCUGCCCUGCAGCACAAGGAGCCAAGUCAGAGUGGGAGAUGGAACUACAGUGGGAGAAUCAUAGGACUGGAAGGGACCUGGAGAGGUCUUCUAAUCCAGAUCCUGCACUCAAGGCAGAGCUAAGUAUGAUCUAGAGUUAGACCAUCCCUGACAGAAGACAGCUUGCGCUCUAUAGCUUGUAUUCUAGCUACAUAUUUGCUAAAAGUCUUUCCCCCAGCCCCACUCCUUUUUGAGAGGUUGCUUUCAUCCUCACUGAAGUAUGGGUUGUUUCUUCCUCAGCAUCUCACCUACUCAAGUACUUCGUUUUCUCAAAAUAGUGCCUCAUUAUUUUAAACUGUUCCAUCUGGUUUGGGUUAUUUCUCCUUCCCCUACAAGUAAGCACAAUUAUUCCAUGGAUAGCCAGCUACUGUCAAGGCCAUUCAGUAGCAUGGCUAUUAACAGGUUCUUGAGAACAAAAUGAGCUCUCCUCUCAACCUCUUUGCCAAGAAAAAUAUCAUUUCUUGGAGGGCUGUAAACCCAACCAUUCCCCUCAGCAGUGUACAGCCACCAGAAUCAUUUAUUUUAUUUACCAGCAAGUUUCACUACAGCAAAGCUGUCAUCCAAUGCAAUUACAACAGGACAGAGUGCCAUAAAGGAGCUCUAUAUACUGAUCUGCAUUAUGUAAAAUAAUAAAAAAAUAUACCGUUCAAAGUUGGGGCUUGGUGUGUACCAAGUUAAAAAAAAAUCAAUUAUUUCAAAUCAGAUUACCUGUUCAGUGUAAUCUAAUGCCAAACAUGUAGUGACAGUUCCCACUUUGGAAAGUCCCUGAUGUCGUGAAAUAUCAAGAAACUAACACCACCAUGUGGCUCUUAUAUAGCACUUUCCAUCAUUUUUACAAAGGAGGUCAAUAUCAUCCCCAUUUCAAGAUGGGGAAACUGAGGUACAGGGAGGUUAAGUGACUUGCCCAAAUCCACUCAUUAAGACCAGUGGCAGAGUUUGGAACAGAUCCCAAGUCCCCUGAAAGCUGCUGUGUCUGUGGACUAAAUAUUAUGCCAAUUCAAAAAACAAUUACGUCAGAAUUUAAAAGACUGAAUGUCUUUUACUAGCAUUAAGGUGAGAAUAGCCUAUUUACAUGAAGUAUGCAGGGACAGCCAUACAAACUAAAAGUAUAUUUUUAAAUUAAUUUGAAAGAACAAGAAACCCAUUUUCUUUUCCACUAUCCUCUUCACAAGAGAGAGAGUCAAACUGCAUUUUCCCUAAGCAAGGGUAUUGGGACAAGAUACGAGUAUUACUGAGAGAUCUAGCACAGUGACUACAAAGAAAGCCAAAUGUGACAAAACCCUUAACAUCCAAUAUAUUUUUACAUAAACAUGUUCCCACCUGACCUGUGAUUACCCCACAGAAUUUUAUAUUCCCACAAUGCCAUGCACCUCUCUGCUAUGCACCUUGUACAAGAUCUCUGGUCAAGCAACUGCUAAGUUAUGGAGUUUAUUUAUGGCGGUUAGAACUGCAUGUCAAGUUUGUUCACUGUAGGCAGUUAAAUUAACAUGAUGUUGUGUGUUACCUACAGCAAAUGACACAAAAAUAAACAAUGUUGAGUGUGAGAUCAGGAGGACUUAAGAUACAAUAAAAUAUGUCACCACUUUAGGAGUAAUAUUAAAAUUUCCCCAUUUUACACCUUGCAUUCAUCAAUGGAAUGAAAUUAGCCCUACAAUAUAACCAUGAUAUUCUGCAAGUUUUAAUUCUAGAUGGAUUUCAUAAUAUGCUAAAAGAGUUCCACAAAAGCAUUAGCCACAACAUAUACAGGAAAAAGAUUUUACUCGAGCACCUUCAACACUACAAAACCUAAAACAAAAUACAUCAAAUGGAACUGAACUUAUUGCUGGAAACUAUGCAAAUAGAUUUAUACCCCUACUACAGUCCUGGAACAAACCCCUUGUAAAUGGAAUAUAAAUAAAGAGAAGAAUCGAAAUCUGCUAGAUAGGACAUAUGUACAACUAACCGGAAGAAUAGUGAUUCUAAAGGAAUACAGUAUUUUGUUUUGCAGUUAUUUCACAAGAAUAUGUAAGAUGCAUGCAAAGUGACACCAUUUAAUCCCGUUCGGUGAAAGUGGCAAAAAACGUGUGCUGGAUCAGAAACACUCAGAGCUGAAACUUUACAUUCCUAAACUAUUUUCUGGGUUCAGAUAUUUAAGUGUCAGAUGUGGGAAUCAAUUACUUCCCAAAAGAAUUCAUAGCUUAACUUUUUCUUACUAAACUUUUGUUUCAGUUCACAAAGGCCACUGCUAUGGACUAGACCUUCAAUACUAACUAACUCAGUGAGAAGAACCAGCUGGAACAAACUGGUCUUCAACCACUACCUUCUUCAGAGAUCAAAAUAUAAACGCAUCAAAUUUUGCAUCCACUGGCUCUUCAGUGGAAAAUUCUAUCACCAGCUGUUUUGUACAUGUUAAAAUUGAAUAAUCUGAGACUAAAACCAGUCAAGCAACUACUCCAGUUUUAAGUACGCAUUACUCUCCUGUCACAACCAUGCCACAGAAACUGCUGAAAUACUGGGGCAUUAAAUAGAUUUUACCUCAAAUGAGCAAUUUUCUAGUACAAUAAAGAUGCAAGUACACCAGGUUCACGUUAAGUACAAUUAUGUUUCUUUAUUCAAUAAGGAUUUUAUUAUUUGUAUUGUAGUGCCUACAGAUGCUAAUUGAGAUUCAGGGCACCAGAUGCUAUGCAGACAGAGUAAGAAGACAGUCUCUAUCGCAAAGAGUUCAUCAUAUCAUAACAAAGAUGAAAAAAAGGAUGAAAAGAAAUGGCGGAGGGGGAAACAGAAGAGAAGAGAAGGACAAUGACACGACAAGAAAGGGUAACAGGAAACACCCAGACUUCCUUCAGCAGCCUCAGCCCCAACCCUAACCUGAUUGAAGGAUGGCUACUAACCCCAGCCCUGUGAGAUUAUGUCCUGCCACAAGCGACAUGGUCUCUGCACCAAUGGACCACCAUAAGGCCUCAGUGGGAAAAUGGAGGAAGUUCUAUUUUUCCUAUCAAAGAACCAUAAACAUAUACAAGAUAGCUGAUACCAUUGUGCCAUUUUUCCAGUCUGAGCUUCAUCCAAUAUGGCCUCAGAAAAUGUACUGUAUUGAUAUAUUUGGGGGGGAGGUAUAGCUCAGUGGUUUGAGCAUUGGCCUGCUAAAUCCAGGGUUGUGAUUAAGGGGGCCAUUUAGGGAUCUGGGGCAAAAAUUGGGGAUUGGUCCUGCUUUGAGCAGGGGGUUGGACUAGAUGGCCUCCUGAGGUCCCUUCCAACCCUGAGAUUCUAUAAUUCUAUGUGCCAUAAUAUGUUUGAGACUAUCAAGGAGGAUGUUUCUGGAUAGUACUAGCUCAUAUUAGUUACAACCUGGUACCCAUGCAAGUAUUACUGUGCCAAUUACAGGCACCUUUCGGAAACAGUGGAAGCAAGACAACAGAGCUGCAAAAAUUCAACAAGCUAUUCUGAACAGAAAUGACCACCACAACUGUGGGGCUGAAGCCAGCUGACCCACUACACCCUUUCACAGGCAUGAAGCCAGUCGACCCACUAUGCUAACGUUCUCACUUGACCCACGUGACUUAACAGAAAGCAACUCCAAUUAGCUCAGUCCAGCUAUUAAAAAUAUUAAAGUAUCAAAUGCAAUCCUCCCCAUUUAUUAAAGUGGCUUUGAAAAUUAAGUUGUUUCAGAUGCGACCAACUACAGUGGACAUACAUCAGUGCACCAAAUCCUCCUCUGCAACCCAGAUUUUGAUGUGCUGAUUCAAACUCUAAAAAGACCACCUUAUUAUUCCUCCUACUCAGCAGCCCCUCCAUAAGCACGCAGUAAGGCAGGUAAAACCUUAGAGAGACAAGGCAGGUGACAGGUAAAACCUUGUCAGCUACUUUUGCAUUCAAAGUAUAAUUUAGAAUUUCAAGUUAUUUGAAACAGAAAACUAAGUUGUAAGUUUAAUUCAUCGUAAGUAGUAAAUUAUACACUAGCUUCUAUAUACUCAGGCAGCAUCCUUGAACUAAAUACACUUAGUUCCUUAAAGGAAAGGAUAAAGCCAAAGCAAAUGUCAAGUUUUUUACCUUCAUUCGCACUUGAGACACUUUCCUGCACCUAAAAAAGUCACUAAGAAGGGAAGCGAGGGGGCACUGUCCUCUUUCCCUUCUAUUGCUUAGAAAAUUAAGGGAGAAAACGCUCUCCCAUUAUGCUUUUACUACAUUUUUUUUUAAAGUAAAAAGAGUGAAUUUAGGGUGACCUGAGGUCCCAAUUUUAUAGGGACAGUCCCAAUAUUUUGGGCUUCUUCUUAUAUAGGCACCUAUUACCCCUCACCACUCUCAUCCCAAUUUUUCACAUUUGCUAUCUGAUCACCCUAAGUGAAUUUCAUAUUGGUGAGAUGCUAUAAACCCAGAGCCAUGGAAGCUUAGCUGCACAACUCAAACACCAACUGGAGGGAACUCCCCAAGCCAAUACAGGUAGCCUUAAUCUUUUACUAAUAAUUCGGGUCCGUUCUGGGAGUCUAAGCAGUGAUGCCAACUAUCAUAUGGUCUCCAUGGCAUCUUGACUUACAACCAAGUCAUUUCACAUGGUGAGUAAACACCCAUAAGAUACUUACUGUCAAUCCAGAUCAGAUUUGAACUAAUGACAGAGAUGGUAACAGCAACAACACUGAAUCCUCUAAGUCAAACACCCUGUUUUACUAAUUCAUUUCUAGAGUUUAAACUCAGGGAGUGAAUGUUAUGCAUUUACUCAUUUUAGUACUAGGAAUCCAUCAUUUCUCUGGGGUCUCAUAAGAGGCCAGCAAAGGGGAAAUAGUUUAAAAGAUAGGCCUCGUGUACACUGGCAAGUUUCUA